rnacentral:lncRNA from 1 species
AAAAAACUAAGAAAAAAACAAAAGUACGUACAGGCAUAACAAGUAUAGUUGUUUAAGAUGACAAAAUCAAUCAAUGUUUUGGUUUACAUGAUUUUUGUCAUGUUUGUUCUUGUUUCAUUAACUAAGGGGGUGCCAGAGUCUUCGUAUGCACCAAAACCAUCAUAUGUAUCCGAGCAAUCAUAUGCACCAGAAGCAACAUCAUCAAAAACAUCACUAGAACUGUCUGUUGCAAGUCGUAGCACUCGCGUAUCUAUUACAGGUAUAUCCAGUUUUAAUACUUUUUUCUUUCAUUUUCUCAUUACUCCGUUUAUAAUUAAAACUAAAAUUUGCAUAGUAUAAGAAUUGAUACAUCUUCAAAGACACUAAAUAACUCAAAAAUAUAUUCCUAUGGGAUGUUUGCUAUUGAUGUUNNNNNNNNNNNNNNNNNNNNNUGUUUGAUGUUUUCUAUUUUUUUUAAUUACAAUUUUGGCACUAAUAGAUUCAUAUUUUUCUAAUGAGUAUAUAAUUAUUUUUAUAAUCAUGAUUACGAAUGUGUAUUUUAGGUUUCAAAAUUCGUAGAUUCGACUUUCUUCUGUUAGGUUUACAACCUUUAAAGUGAAAGCUUUUAAUUUUUUUAAUCUAUUGUAUAUGAAAUAUGUUUGUUUCGUGAAUUUCAGGUUGCACUUUUGCAUCACAAUGCAAAACCAAAUGUUGCAUUUGCGAUAAAGGCGCAUGCAUUCGAUGUUGUUGAGAGGGUAUAACUACAAUUACUAUGUAAUUGGUGACUGGCUAGCAUACUAAUAUAAAUUAUUUACCAAUAAAACAUAUGUAUUUGUAGCUAUUAUAGCACCAAAGAAC